CCCUUCUAAGAGUCGCACCUGGAGAGCUUCCAGUCCUCUACCAGUCUCGGCUAUGGGAGGGAGAGUCAAGCAGAGGCCUGUCCAAUCCAUUCCUAGCUUGGCCAGUGGCUAGCGAGCGGAAGGCACUCUGCUACGAGG